GGCGAGUAAAUGGGGUUUAAAGUUCACUAAAUUCACUUGACACAAACUAUGCCAUUCAUUUCCUUGUAUUAAAUUGGUCGAAUCAAGUAGGUCCAUGCUAUAUAUAUGUCCUAGAAUCAAGUAGGACAGGUAGUCUUCUUCCGCCCUUUUUCUGAACACUGUCUCAUUCUAUUGCCAUCUGUGCAAAGCAUGAAGCCAAAGGAAAUGUUUUUACCAAGGCAUGUUCCUCAAUAGCGGAGAGAGUUUUAUCCAGUGUCGGUUCUGCAGAAGAACCCAUUCAUAGCAGACCACCCAUUGCAGCACUUGUAAGGUCGCUAUAAAGAACCCGACAGACUCUGCGACCAAAAGAUCCCACUGACGUGUCGUCAAGCCUUGAAGAUUUCAUCGAUCAUAGUGCACCGGGAUUUUAUCAAAAAAGAGUAAAAGUUGGGGAAAGGCGCCAUCACAUUUUUUGUACUGAUAGACAGAUGCAACUACUCGCACGCGCAAAAACUUGGUAUAUGGAUGCAACUUUUCGGGUGGUGAACAAGCCAUGGUCUCAGCUGUUUUCCAUACACGCCUUCAUGAAGACUGGAGAGACCACCCGACAGUUACCAUUGGUGUUUUGUGUAAUGUCGGGUAAAAGCUAAGACGAAUAUUAUAAGUUUCCAUAUUAGAUGCCAUAGCAAAUCAAAGAUCAUAUAAUAAAAUAAGUCAAAAAACCCAAAUAUGGAAAAAGAAAGAGCUGAAGAAAUGGUGAUUUGAGCACCUAUGCUUUCUCAUAGGUGUUUUUGGAGGAUGAGUGUUCAAUUCUAAUAGAAAAGAUUGUUGUUAUGGUAUUUUAGAAUCUCACCAUAAUGUGUUUGGCACAGUAUAUCCCGGUUGGAGCUGAUGUGACAUAAACCUCCAUUUCAUUUUAUUGUUUUGAAAUUUAAAAUUCAGUUUAGUAUAGUAAAUUUGUACACGUACAUGUAUGUGCACAAACAGAAUCUUACUUAUGUCCAGAUACAUGUAGAUAUGACUGUCUCAUCUGUGGGGGACCACGGUGGCCAAGUGGGUUAGACACUGGCUCGCAUAUUUUAAGGUCGCGGGUUUGCAGUAAUGAAGUUGGGCAUAUGCCAUACAGUGUGCUACGAGAGAAAUUUUGCCGGGUACCGUGAGCUUAAGGCCUUCUCUUGUAUCAAAUUCUAACUGCCAGGGGAUCUUUUACAUGCACACCAAUGUGUACACGGGACCACGUUUUUUUGUUCAAUCUGAAUGACUAGACAGCUGUCCUUGUCAGGCCCGCCUUCAUGCAUCACUAACAAGAGGAAACCACGCCGGAAAAUCUGGGUGAACUUUCUCGGCCAAUGCAGGGAUCGAACACCCGACCUCCAGGCUAGCGAGCCAGCGUCUUACCCACUUAGCCACCAUGACGACUAGACAGGGAAUCCAUGCUGAAAAAUCCAAAUGAGCUUUCUCGGUCAACACUGGGACUGAACCCGCAACCUCCCGGGUAGCAAGCCAGUGCCUUACACACUAAGCCACAUGGCUCUCUUUUAAUUACUGUGACUCUCCAGUCACAUGACAAACAAGGGUUAUUAAAACAGAUUUUCACGGUUUAGGUAAGAUCUUCGGGAUUAAAAUGGUUUUAGACAUCACACAGUUUGUAUAUGGUAAGGUAUCUUAAACAGUUAAUUACAUGUCACAUAUUCAUAUUUUUCAGUUUCCAUAUUAGAUGCCAUAGCAAAUCAAAGAUCAUAUAAUAAAAUAAGUCAAAAAACCCAAAUAUGGGAAAAGAAAGAGCUGAAGAAAUGGUGAUUUGAGCACCUAUGAUUUCUCAUAGGUGUUUUUGGAGGUUAACUACAUCAGAAAGAUCAAGACAGUUGGAAAUGGCUAUUCAUAUUUUGGAAACUUUUUCUCACAGAGCUUGAUAAUCAGGUAAAAUGCUGGAAGAUUAUUUGAUGUAUGAUAACAACAAGAGAUCCCAAGCAUCAAUUUAUUUUUUAAUUCUGGAAAAGAAUGCAUUUGACCCAAUUUUUGAAUAUUUUUUUUUGUUUUUACUGUUAAAUAUUCAUCCCAAACACGAUUAGAUUUUAAUUCUCUACAGAAAUUUAUGUAUAAUAUAGAAUGUAAAGUGACAUAUAAAUCACUUAGAAUUUGGUCGGAAAUCAUAAAGUAUUUAAUAAGUAUAGUCUAGAAACCAAAUGUAGAUCAAAUAUACCCAGAAUUACAAAAAACCUUGACCUACAUUGAGGUGACUUUCCCUUGCUUAUGAAAUGAAAUAGGGUUUAAUAUCCUACUUUUCUGUGUUAUUAUGGUGAUUCUGCCCUACAACCUACUCUUAUAUCAAAUAUUUCAACUGUCAAGGGUUGUUUAAAGGGAACCCAGGAGGGCCGAAUGGUUAACACACGCACAUUUGAUCAGAAGGGUCUGUCAUUGAGUCAGAUAAUUCAAUUGUCAAGGGUAUCUUUAAAGUAAACGCAGUGGGGGUAGUUUCAAUUCUGGGCUUAUACCCAAUUAUCCCUUGCCAUGUCCUACACUACUGACGUGUGGGAACUAUGUCGGAAAAUCCAGUUGAAAUUUCUCGGCCAAUGCACUCACUGAACCACAGUGGCUCCUCCUUGCUUUUGACUUGUGAUUAUUUAUAUAUAUUUUGUACAUAUUAUUUAAUGUUUGCGAUUUUCUCUGAUAUUUUUUUAUUUUUCAAUCCUGUAAUCUUGAUGCUUUGCUCCUUUUAUGUACAAAAUAUUCAUUUUGUUUGAGGAAAAGGUUCUACAUCAUUUUAUUACUCCUGCAAAAUAGUGCAUUUUUCUUUUGUUAGUUUUCUGUGUAUGCUAGUUAUUUCUAGAUGCCUCACAAAUCACUUGUAAUAUGACUUUGUAGCACUUUUCAGUUUCUGAAAGUAUUUCAAUUUAGUGCAUAAUUAAUCUAAUUAGGGCUUGGUUUGGAUGUUAUUAAAUUUAGAUAUAUUUGAAUUAUAUAUUUUUGGGGUAUGGGGUAGGGAUCUUUCUUUUCUCAGUUCUUGUUUUCGGGUAAAGAAGAAAUUAAAUAGCUAUUUUGUAUUUUGUGAUGUGGGGGGGAGGGGGGCAAAGUAUAACAAAAUUUUUAUUAGUAUUAGAAUUAUAUCUCUGUUUUUCUGUUAACAUUUCAAAUGAUGUCUAUUUAGUUUUGAUUUGGUGGUGUUGAUUUACUUUUUCCUAUCAUUUUAUGAAUAAAUGAUAAUUUAACAAAUAAAAUUAUUGUUACCUCAUUUAUCAAACUUUACAGGUUAAACAGAGCAAAAGGGGUGGGGGCUGCAUAGGAAAGAUUGCUAAAUUGAGGGAAAAUAAAACACAAGUUUUUGUUGGUGGUUAUACACAAGUUUUUAUGAAACCACACAAGUUUCAGAAAUUUCAACACAAGUUUCAGAAAUUUCAACACAAGUUUCAGAAAUUUCAACACAAGUUUCGACACAAGUAUUGUGUAGAUUUUCACACAAGUUUCAACACAAGUUUGUGUUGUUUUGUAAAUUUUAACACAAGUCUUGUGUUGUUUCAACAUUUAACACAAGUUUGUGUUGUUUCAACACUAGUUUGUGUUGUUAAAUAGAGACACCUAACUUGUGUUGAAAACAACACAAGUUUUUUUUUAGUGUAUAGACACUCCGAGUAUGCACGUUUGUACAAUCCAUUAAAUCUUACAUAAUACUAUGUCAACUCCCCAUACCUGAUAUAGAUUAAAACUUACAAUUAAUCUGUCACUUAAUAUAUGUC